GUCAGCCCAAGACUGACAGGGUGUCAUUGUAUCUAGGUUUGUCAGCCCAAGACUGACAGGGUGUCAUUGUAUCUAGGUUUGUCAGCCCAAGACUGACAGGGUGUCAUUGUAUCUAGGUUUGUCAGCCCAAGACUGACAGGGUGUCAUUGUAUCUAGGUUUGUCAGCCCAAGACUGACAGGGUGUCAUUGUAUCUAGGUUUGUCAGCCCAAGACUGACAGGGUGUCAUUGUAUCUA